rnacentral:rRNA from 1 species
UGUAGCGGUGAAAUGCUUAGAUAUCACGAAGAACCCCGAUUGCGAAGGCAGCCCGCCAGCCCGCUACUGACGUUGAGGCUCGAAGGUGCGGGUAUCGAACAGGAUUAGAUACCCUGGUAGUCCGCACGGUAAACGAUGGACACCCGCCGUGGGCGACAUACAGUCCGCGGCCAAGCGAAAGCGUUAAGUGUCCCGCCUGGGGAGUACGCCGGCAACGGUGAAACUCAAAGGAAUUGACGGGGGCCCGCACAAGCGGAGGAACAUGUGGUUUAAUUCGAUGAUACGCGAGGAACCUUACCCGGGCUCGAACCUCCCCCGAAUCCGGCGGAGACGCCGGAGCCAGCAAUGGCGGGGGCGGAGGUGCUGCAUGGUUGUCGUCAGCUCGUGCCGUGAGGUGUCGGCUUAAGUGCCAUAACGAGCGCAACCCCUCCCUCCAGUUGCCAUCGGGUAAUGCCGGGGACUCUGGAGGCACUGCCAUCGCAAGAUGCGAGGAAGGCGGGGAUGACGUCAAAUCAGCACGGCCCUUACGUCCGGGGCUACACACGUGUUACAAUGGGGGGUACAGAGGGCCGCUGCACGGCGACGUGCGGCCAAUCCCUAAAUCCCCUCCCAGUUCGGACCGGAGUCUGGAACCCGACUCCGCGAAGCUGGAUUCGCUAGUAAUCGCGCAUCAGCCAUGGCGCGGUGAAUACGUUCCCGGGCCUUGUACACACCGCCCGUCAAGCCAUGAAAGCCGGGGGUGCCUGAAGUGCGCUUCCGCGAGGGGCGCCCUAGGGUAAAACCGGUGAUUGGGGCUAAGUCGUAACAAGGUAGCCGUAA